rnacentral:tRNA from 1 species
GGAGGGUUAGUCUAAUUGGUAAGGCAGCGGACUUGAAAUCCGCCGGGCGCAAGCCCAUGGGGGUUCGAAUCCCUUACCCUCCG